CAGGCCGUUGAAGCAGAACGUGUGAACUUAACCACUGCGUCACCGCACCGGCCCUUCUCUGUCCCUUUUGCCCAACAGGAACAUCAGUGUUCUGAAGAGAAGACUUCAGAAUCCCUUUAUCACCUGAGAUUCAGUUGCAGUUUUGGAAAUUUUCAAGCUCUACUGGAAGCUUGUACACAAUAUAGAAAGUGCCUUUUGAACAAUUGCCACAACCUCUAAAAUAUUUGACAUUUUCCUUCUCAAAUCUGGUGCUGCUGCCUUCUCUGUUCUGCCACUGAAGGGCUUGCUUGCUCUAGUGCCCCUGUGAGCGUGCAGCGGCUCUGAGUGUGAGCAGAGCAGCAGCAGCCCUGGAGCCCGGCUGGAUGCCGGUGCUGGCUGACCGCAGGCCUGAGUCAGAGCCCGAGGGGCGGGCUCAGCGCUCUGCUGGUGUCUCUGAUGCACAGCAAAGCUUGAGAAUCGCUGUGUUAGAGGAAUAUGGAGGCAGGACAUGCCUAAGAAAUAACAUUGAGGGAAUUUCAGUAUGAAGUAUGCCUUCUGCAUAAAAACAGUAACACAGCGAUUUUUUUUUUCAUUUAACUCCAUUGCUUUGAGAAAUGUUUCUGACGUGGGUGGGGAGUGUGUCACGGGCUGACUUGUCUAUUUUUCUGCACUGUGUUCUUGGUGAGUUGACUCACAAGAUGCUAAAAGUAGACCACAUUCAGAAUUCAACUCUGUGCGUUUUCUCCAGCUUUGAAUUGAUUGUGUACAGGUACAGUUUUAGCUGAUGCUAAUGCUGAUGAAUGUGCUUUCUUCGUGUCUCCCAGCACUUCAGUUCAUCUUCCCUAGGCUGGUCUCAUCUCACAUUGUGUUCUGUCUUACAAAUGCCAUGGAGCACAAAGCUGUGCACACCAGGAUGCAGGAAAUGUAUUAUCUACUGAUGAGCCAGAUGAAUAAGAAUUGUUUAAAGUUCCUUAAAAUGAUGGUAUCGUAUUUGGACUUUAAUAUUGUCUCCAAAUGUGACUUUGUUCUCACAUUUAUUCAGACUUCAGACCCAGUCACAAUGACAAGGACGUGGGUUCCAUAGCUGAAGAGAAAUGGGAUCUGCUGUAGAAGUCUGUGAGGUUUUUCAGUAACAAAAUGCCUCUGUUCGUGCUGUGGAAGGAAGUUAGCGACGCUUUUGCAGAUACGGCGGGUCAAACACCUGGGGACAGGAGGUCACCAGUGACCUGACAGUUGCAAUCCUUUCCUGUGUGUUAGGAGUAGGUGGUUAAAUACGCCCCUCUCUCACCCACGUGCCGUCGUCUCCUGAGCGCUUGGCUUUCGUUUCCUCCCUUGACGUGUGCUGGAGCUGCACACACGUUUCUGAACAUCGUUCGGCUUCUAGUCACUUUUGAGCUUGUCAUCCGUGAAAGUGUGGGGUGUGCAUUGAUUGUCUUGAGGAGCCGAGCAGGGUCAGCACCUCUGGCCGAGGCACUGUUAGUAAGUCGCCAGCUAAGAGUGAGACCUGACCUCCUUCCUUCUGUUUCCAUGCCUGCCUUAGAAAUUAGUUGUUCUUGGCUGCAUGGGUGAGGCGACUUCUUAGUCUGUUUUUAGCUUUUUUCUUGGGCAGGUAGGGAGAGCUUAUUUAUCUGUUGGGUUUCGGGGGCAUGAACGUAUCUAAAUAUGUCAUUACCAUUUGCUCCUUGGGGGCGGGCACAGAACAGGCUAUCUCUUGAGAACUUUGUCUUCCCUGGUGCUGCUGAAUUCCAGGAGAAACAGAACGGUGCUUUGACACCGGAAAAGGGAUUGGGAAAUAGGUAACAUUUAAGAACUGAACCAGCACAUGAUUUAUGCGGUCUGAAUUCCAAAACACCCCAAAAAUUGAAAUUUUGAGUUUUUGUUUCAGAGGGAGGAGAAAUGAUUUAAGCCUGGAUUUUUGGAUGAACUCUUUCACAUGCCUUUUCUGCCUAAUGCUUUUCUACGAAUAAUGUCAACACUUAAGUAUCUUCUGUGUUCUUUUUGUGGUAUUUAAUAUUAUAUAUUCUUCAGUAGUUUAUGCUUCUCCCUGUGUAUGAACUUAUGUACAUUCUUGAGUGACUCUAGCUCAAGAAGUUUUACUGUACUUUGUAGAAUUGGAUGAUAUGGAGAAAUGUCACUCCAUUCAGAUACCCAAGUUUUGGGUGGUGACCCGAGUCAUGACAUGAGGAUCACAUCACCAGAGAGAAUGUGACAAAGGUUAAUUUGUAAAUUAUGCCACUUGUUGCUUGUUCAUAUGCUUCUGGUCAUCAAAGACAAUGUCGUGACACUGCAAAUGUGCUGUCUGUGGCUAAUGUGGUUUGUUUUCAUUCCUUAGGUGCAGCUAUCUUCUUUGAAUUCAAACACUACAAGCCUAAAAAACGGUUUACCAGCACCAAAUGUUUUGCUUUCAUGGAGAUGGAUGAAAUUAAACCUGGGCCAAUUGUAAUAGAACUAUACAAGAAGCCCACUGACUUUAAAAGGAAGAAAUUGCAGUUAUUGACCAAGAAACCACUUUAUCUUCAUCUACAUCAAACUUUGCACAAGGAAUGAUCCUGACCUGACUAACCUGGAACUUCUGUGAACUUCACCACUUGGUAGAAAGCAUCAUAGCUCUGUGUAGCGUAUUCACCUUUCGACAGGCAGGAAGCGAGCCGUACCCAUGCCAGGAGGCCGGAGGGGGUCCGUUGCACAGCUGUACCACAGAAUUCAAAGUCCAGCACAUCACUGACAUCUAAGACUCCUUUGAAUACAGGCUUCUUGUAGAUUUUGAAACAUGUUUUUACUUUUCUAUUAAUUGUGCAAUUAAUAGUCACUUUUCUAAUUUACCACUGCUCCUGCCCUGCUUCCUGGAACAACACUGUUGUGGGUAGGAUGUGCUCCUCUUCAGAAUUAAUACAGCAAUAAGAAUGUGCUCAAGUUUACACAUCUGUUCACUUCUGCGCCAAUAUGCUCUUUUGGUUUUUUUGAUGAAUGUCAAACUUGGGGCUGAUGUGGGUAGGAUAGGAUGGCUGCUUGGAGAGGAAUGGGGCCGAUGGUGCCACCCCAGGUCCGUCUGGGAAUUUAUAGGCUGCUCCUCAGAGGCCUAAAUGCACCUGAUCUCAUGGUUUUCCUGCUAAGCAUAGAGUGCCUUGGCCAGAGCAGUGUCCCAGAUGGGACUGUUUCCAGGUGGGAGCUCAGAUUUUUCCCGGUGACCCGACUGUUUUUCUGAAAGUGAGCAUAUUUUCAGUCGUGUUGAUUAGCUGUCCUUCUACGUCACAUUGUUACUCUUUCUGAUGGUGAUUCUAGGGUUAGCGAUGGAACCAUCUCAGAAUAAUUACAAAUUUGCAGAUGGGUUUAUACUGUCUUUUAAAUCAUGUACUCUAAAAAUAAUUCGAGUCAGAUGCUAACAAGAUACUGCAGGAAUCACUGCUGUUUUUCUGACAACUGAUUGUGAAACCUUAAAACCUGCAUAACUCUCUUAGAGUGAUGAGUAUGCAAAAUCUGGAGAUACUCUAUUUUUUUUUAUAUAGGUAGAUAGGAUUGCCAUUUAUUUCCUAUUUAGAUAUAUUGACAUUCAUCCAUAUGGAAAUAUGCAGGUCAUUAGCUUAUUAUAAUUUGACUAUUUACAUUACUUUUGACUUAAUGGGGCAUAAAUAAAACUUUCAUAGUACACACAGGUGGAUAUUUGAUACACAGAACAUUAAGAUUUGGGGUGGGCUUUCUGUGGGUUAGAUGUAGAGCCCACAUAUUAAUACUCAUUAUUUUAAAUGACCAAUGCUAGCAGGAGAAUGCAGUGCCAGUACUUGGCCUAUUUUUAAACUAGUGUAAUAACCCUAGUCAUACCGUUCAGUACGUUUGCUUUUUAAAAUAAGUAACCACGAGUAAGUUGUUCUAGCCCUUGCUCUUCAGGAGAUCUAGCCUUUCAGUUGUCUGUGAGGUCAGUUCUGUUUAUUAAGAUGGAUAUUAAAAACUCUAGGAGCCUGAAAGCAUUCUCAACCAAAUUUAGUCUUGUCUCUCACCUUGAUUAGAUUUCAUUCCAAAAGGAUUCAAUCCACAAUAGCUGGCGAGGAUGAAGCAUUUGCCUUAAUAAAUUGCUUGGUUGUUCACUCAACUCUUAGACUGAGUUGUCAGCCCCCAGAUUGUAAGCUCCUCAAGGGGCAAGAACCCCGUUUUCUCCAUGUCAUGUAAAUUUCCUCAGGUGCUUGGCAGCACUCUGUACCCUGUGGAGUACUCAGUACCUUUUGUUUGAUGUUGCUGACGAGACCUAAAAAAUAAUCCCUUAAAGAACCUACUAUUAAAAUGUAGCAAAACUGA